rnacentral:rRNA from 1 species
AGUCACUGACAUUAGAUACCCGCGUAGUCCAGGGUGUAAACGCUGCAGACUUGGUGUUGGAAGCCCUUUUGGGGGCAUUCAGUGCCGGAGAGAAGUUGUUAAGUCUGCUACUUGGGAGUACGUCCGCAAGGAUGAAACUUAAGGAAUUGGCGGGGGAGCACCGCAACGGGAGGAGCGUGCGGUUUAAUUGGAUUCAACACCGUAAACUCACCAGGGAAGACUGUUACAUGAAGGCCGAGAUGAAGACUCUGCUAGAUUUUCAG